GCACCACUGGGAUCCCCAAUAAGCCUAUACCCGCAGCACCAGGAAUUGUAUCCUGAACCCCUACCACAAAGGUUGCAGCAGUAUGGGGAAACUAAAUAUCCACAUGCAAAAGAAUGAGAUUGGACCCUUACUUCACACUUUAUUCAAAAAUUAACUCAACAUGGAUUAAAGACCUAAAGAGACAGAGGUUUAUUUUAAAAAAUUGAAUCAUGUGUUUGUGGGGGCUGGCAAAUCCAAAUUCUGCAGAGGAUACCAGCAACUGGAGACCCAAGGAAGAGUUGGUGUUGGAGCUCAAGUCCAAAGGCAGUCUGCAUCAACAUUCCUUCUUCCUUGGGGGAACCUCAGCUUUUUUCCUUAAGAUCUUCAAUAAGUUGUGUGUGUGUGUUUAAUUGACUUCAUCAUAGAUUACAGGGGGAAAGGGAAGGAAGAUGAAAUGAGAAUAAGAAAGUAAAAUUUAAA